UGAGGAAUAUUGGUCAAUGGGCGAGAGCCUGAACCAGCCAAAUCGCGUGAAGGAUGAAGGUAUUAUGUAUUGUAAACUUCUUUUGUCAGGGAAUAAAGUGCGGCACGUGUGCUGUUUUGUAUGUACCUGAAGAAUAAGGAUCGGCUAACUCCGUGCCAGCAGCCGCGGUAAUACGGAGGAUCCAAGCGUUAUCCGGAUUUAUUGGGUUUAAAGGGUGCGUAGGCGGAACUUCAAGUCAGCGGUGAAAGUUCCCGGCUUAACCGGGGAAUUGCCGUUGAAACUGUUGUUCUUGAGUGUAGACGAGGUAGGCGGAAUUCGUGGUGUAGCGGUGAAAUGCUUAGAUAUCACGAAGAACUCCGAUUGCGUAGGCAGCUUACUAGGCUACAACUGACGCUGAGGCACGAAGGUGCGGGGAUCAAACA
rnacentral:rRNA from 1 species